UGGGUGUGACUGCGUACCUUUUGUAUAAUGGGUCAGCGACUUAUAUUCUGUAGCAAGGUUAACCGAAUAGGGGAGCCGGAGGGAAACCGAGUCUUAAGGGGCGUUAAGUUGCAGGGUAUAGACCCGAAACCCGGUGAUCUAGCCAUGGGCAGGUUGAAGGUUGGGUAACACUAACUGGAGGACCGAACCGACUAAUGUUGAAAAAUUAGCGGAUGACCUGUGGCUGGGGGUGAAAGGCCAAUCAAACCGGGAGAUAGCUGGUUCUCCCCGAAAGCUAUUUAGGUAGCGCCUCGUGAAUUCAUCUCCGGGGGUAGAGCACUGUUUCGGCUAGGGGGCCAUCCCGGCUUACCAACCCGAUGCAAACUGCGAAUACCGGAGAAUGUUAUCACGGGAGACACACGGCGGGUGCUAACGUCCGUCGUGAAGAGGGAAACAACCCAGACCGCCAGCUAAGGUCCCAAAGUCAUGGUUAAGUGGGAAACGAUGUGGGAAGGCCCAGACAGCCAGGAUGUUGGCUUAGAAGCAGCCAUCAUUUAAAGAAAGCGUAAUAGCUCACUGGUCGAGUCGGCCUGCGCGGAAGAUGUAACGGGGCUAAACCAUGCACCGAAGCUGCGGCAGCGACACUGUGUGUUGUUGGGUAGGGGAGCGUUCUGUAAGCCUGUGAAGGUGUGUCGUGAGGCAUGCUGGAGGUAUCAGAAGUGCGAAUGCUGACAUAAGUAACGAUAAAGCGGGUGAAAAGCCCGCUCGCCGGAAGACCAAGGGUUCCUGUCCAACGUUAAUCGGGGCAGGGUGAGUCGACCCCUAAGGCGAGGCCGAAAGGCGUAGUCGAUGGGAAACGGGUUAAUAUUCCCGUACUUGGUGUUACUGCGAAGGGGGGACGGAGAAGGCUAUGUUGGCCGGGCGACGGUUGUCCCGGUUUAAGCGUGUAGGUGUGUGUUCCAGGUAAAUCCGGUUCACUUUAACACUGAGGCGUGACGACGAGGCACUACGGUGCUGAAGCAACAAAUGCCCUGCUUCCAGGAAAAGCCUCUAAGCAUCAGGUAACAUCAAAUCGUACCCCAAACCGACACAGGUGGUCAGGUAGAGAAUACCAAGGCGCUUGAGAGAACUCGGGUGAAGGAACUAGGCAAAAUGGUGCCGUAACUUCGGGAGAAGGCACGCUGACACGUAGGUGAAGUGAUUUACUCAUGGAGCUGAAGUCAGUCGAAGAUACCAGCUGGCUGCAACUGUUUAUUAAAAACACAGCACUGUGCAAACACGAAAGUGGACGUAUACGGUGUGACGCCUGCCCGGUGCCGGAAGGUUAAUUGAUGGGGUCAGCGCAAGCGAAGCUCCUGAUCGAAGCCCCGGUAAACGGCGGCCGUAACUAUAACGGUCCUAAGGUAGCGAAAUUCCUUGUCGGGUAAGUUCCGACCUGCACGAAUGGCGUAAUGAUGGCCAGGCUGUCUCCACCCGAGACUCAGUGAAAUUGAACUCGCUGUGAAGAUGCAGUGUACCCGCGGCAAGACGGAAAGACCCCGUGAACCUUUACUAUAGCUUGACACUGAACAUUGAGCCUUGAUGUGUAGGAUAGGUGGGAGGCUUUGAAGUGUGGACGCCAGUCUGCAUGGAGCCGACCUUGAAAUACCACCCUUUAAUGUUUGAUGUUCUAACGUGGACCCGUUACCCGGGUUGCGGACAGUGUCUGGUGGGUAGUUUGACUGGGGCGGUCUCCUCCUAAAGAGUAACGGAGGAGCACGAAGGUUGGCUAAUCCUGGUCGGACAUCAGGAGGUUAGUGCAAUGGCAUAAGCCAGCUUGACUGCGAGCGUGACGGCGCGAGCAGGUGCGAAAGCAGGUCAUAGUGAUCCGGUGGUUCUGAAUGGAAGGGCCAUCGCUCAACGGAUAAAAGGUACUCCGGGGAUAACAGGCUGAUACCGCCCAAGAGUUCAUAUCGACGGCGGUGUUUGGCACCUCGAUGUCGGCUCAUCACAUCCUGGGGCUGAAGUAGGUCCCAAGGGUAUGGCUGUUCGCCAUUUAAAGUGGUACGCGAGCUGGGUUUAGAACGUCGUGAGACAGUUCGGUCCCUAUCUGCCGUGGGCGCUGGAGAACUGAGGGGGGCUGCUCCUAGUACGAGAGGACCGGAGUGGACGCAUCACUGGUGUUCGGGUUGUCAUGCCAAUGGCACUGCCCGGUAGCUAAAUGCGGAAGAGAUAAGUGCUGAAAGCAUCUAAGCACGAAACUUGCCCCGAGAUGAGUUCUCCCUGAGACUUAGAGUCUCCUGAAGGAACGUUGAAGACGACGACGUUGAUAGGCCGGGUGUGUAAGCGCAGCGAUGCGUUGAGCUAACCGGUACUAAUGAACCGUGAGGCUUAACCUU
rnacentral:rRNA from 1 species